AAAAACAGUGUUGCAACACUAUCUAAUGCUAAAACAAAAAAAAUUAACCACCAGUCUGAAGUCAAUCUAAUUCAAAAACAAAACAUUUUGGCUGACUGGAUUAAUUUACUCUUUCCAUUAAUUACGUAAUUUAAAAACAACUAAGUCUGUCUUUCUAUCUAUCUAUCUAUCUAUCUAUCUAUCUAUCUAUCUAUCUAUCUAUCUAUCUAUCUAUCUAAAAAAAAUUAAAACAAAAAUCAAUCUUUAUUUACCCUCCUGCUGAUGGCCCGGCUGGGUAAAAGAGGAGAGGAGAGGAGAGGAGAGGAGCGGAGAGGAGAGGAGAGGAGAGGAGAGGAGGAGAGGAGAGGAGAGGAGAGGAGAGGAGAGGAGAGGGAGAGGAGAGGAGAGGAGAGGAGAGGCAUAGAGCACAGAGCACAGAGCACAGAAACAACACAAAAAUGCACUAUACAGUGGGUCAGCAGGGCCGGAGGUCAUCAUGCAGCUCCGAAGGCGGCGAGAUACUUGUAAAUGAAUAGGGGGGGGAGAGAGAGAGAGAGAAGCAGAAAAACUACACAGGAAUCAGCAUAACUAGUCUGCUUGAUGAGGAUCAGGAAAGCAGGGGGCAAGCAUGUAAGUUACCAACUAUAAAACUAAAUGUUAAUGGAGAAACCUUGAAAUUUGUGGUAGAUACAGGAGCAACUUAUUCCGUUAUCAGGAAGCGUGAACUGCCACACACGGACAUGAGCUCACGGUCACUGCAACUCAAUGGGAGCAAGUGGGGUCAGCACGAGAGAAACUUUCUCUCUGCCUCUCAUCUGCAGUGUACCCGAUGUGUCACUAGCUAGAAGCCACAAAGAUGAAUGGAAAGACAUCGGCCCAUGGACACGGUUGUGUGAGGAAGCCACCGAUUGGGAACAGACUCAUGACCCAAAGGUGCUCUUCUCUCCAUCUCUUCACGUGUACUGCACAGGACUGGUCCACUGCUGUUCCAGCCACGCCAACAGUUCUCGUGAUCCAGGAAAACACAAUUCAGACUCUGAAUUGGAGUUAUCCACCGUUCCAGAUUGUGUAUGGCCUGCACACAAAUACAAUGUAGGUCUCAUACGUAACUGUGAACCUCGAGUGGUGACCCCAAAGUCCACUCACCGACCAAGACGUGCCCAAUACCCCCUCCGAAAGGAGGCCAUUGAGGGCAUACAGCCAGUUUUUGACUCCCUGCUGGCAGCGGGAGUGAUUGUGCCUUGUCCAAACUCUCCUGUUAACUCUCCCAGUGAAGAAAG
rnacentral:lncRNA from 1 species